rnacentral:rRNA from 1 species
GAUGAACGCUAGCUACAGGCUUAACACAUGCAAGUCGAGGGACCGGCGCACGGGUGAGUAACACGUAUCCAACCUGCCCUUUACUCGGGGAUAGCAUUUCGCAAGAAAGAUUAAUAACCGAUAUAAAGGAUGGGGAUGCGUUCCAUUAGGUUGUUGGGGAGGUGACGGCCCACCAAGCCUUCGAUGGAGAGGGGUUCUGUGAGGUAGUGCCCCCAAUUUGGAACUGAUACACGGUCCAAACUCCUACGGGAGGCAGGAGUGAGGAAUAUGUGUGAAUGGGAGUUAGCCUGAACCAGCCAAGUAGCGUGAAGGAUGAAUGCUUAUGGGUCGUAAACUUCUUUUAUAUAAGAAUAUGUAUUAUAUGAAUAAGGAUCGGCUAACUCCGUGCCAGCAGCCGCGGUAAUAC